rnacentral:tRNA from 1 species
GCCGUGGCUCAGUGGUAGAGCACCUGCUUCCCAUGCAGGAGGUCUCCGGUUCAGUUCCCAGUGUCGGCA